UCUGUCCGGCAGAUCUGGGGCCAUUACACCAGCACUUUAUUCCACCUGGCCUGGUUGUAUUCCUCACAAUUUUCUAUCGUGACCUUUACGAUCAACUAUCCCCUUGCCCGCCAAGGGGGGACCCCCCGUAGGCCGCCUGGUUCCGCGCAUUAUCAAUUGACUCAUUCGAUUGGCUGUCCUGACGAAGCGGAAACCCCGCGAAACUAGU